GGCGGCGGUAAACGGGUGAAGUAACGACCGUUAGGUGAUCUCGGCCCAUACGAGAACCGGGGACGAAACGUAAUUCGGGAAACGUAUCGACUAAUACCGGAUAGGACGAAAGUUUAAAGAUGACUCCUGGCAUCACUGAUGGAUGAGCCUGCGGCGCAUUAGCUAGUUGGUGGGGUAAAGGCCUACCAAGGCGACGAUGCGUAGCCGACCUGAGAGGGUGAACGGCCACACUGGGACUGAGACACGGCCCAGACUCCUACGGGAGGCAGCAGUAGGGAAUCUUCGGCAAUGGGCGAAAAGCCUGACCGAGCAACGCCGCGUGAAUGAAGAAGGCCUUCGGGUUGUAAAAUUCUGUUAUAAGGGAAGAAAGGUGAUAGGAGGAAAUGACUAUCAAUUGACGGUACCUUAUGAGAAAGCCACGGCUAACUACGUG
rnacentral:rRNA from 1 species